UACAGAGGGUGCGAGCGUUGUUCGGAAUUACUGGGCGUAAAGGGCUCGUAGGUGGCCAACUAAGUCAGACGUGAAAUCCCUCGGCUUAACCGGGGAACUGCGUCUGAUACUGGACGGCUUGAGUUUGGGAGAGGGACGCGGAAUUCCAGGUGUAGCGGUGAAAUGCGUAGAUAUCUGGAGGAACACCGGUGGCGAAGGCGGCGUCCUGGACCAACACUGACACUGAGGAGCGAAAGCCAGGGGAGCAAACGGG
rnacentral:rRNA from 1 species